AUGCUUGCUUUGACAGCACAUAUACUACAGUUGGAAAGAUACAGAGAAGAUUAACAUGGCCCCUGUGAAAGGAUAACAUGCAAAUUCAUGAAGCGUUCCAUAUUUUU
rnacentral:snRNA from 1 species